CCCCGCCCCGCCCCGCCCCACCUGCCGCUCUCCAAAGGGCACGCCACUCACCAUGAAGACGACCACGACGACAAGGGACCUAACGACAAGGGAACCCUACGACUUCAAGCUCGAGUUACUUCCGGGGAGAGCGAAAAGAGGAAGAGAGGCAAAAGUUAGUCUAUCGUCCCCACCACCACCAUCACCACCUCCAUCGCCGCUGCAUUCCUCAGUUUUCCAGGGCUCCGAGAGGAUUUCUUGAGGCCUGGGACGAAGAGAAAACUCCGUGUGCCCGCCGUUCGCCGUGCCCUGCCCCUCGGUAUCGGCUCACAGACCAGCACUUUCCAGGUCUUGUCGCUCAUUCCCCGCCGAUGGCCCAACUUAUCGGAUUUCCUCCCCUGGGAUCUCGCUGUCUCAAGAUUGUUGGUAUCAGUUUGUCCAUUCACUGCUAAUGAGGUAAUGGUGCUCGAUUCUUAUGGUAGAGAUGGGGGUGGUGAUAAUGAUUAAGUGGUAGUAGGUAGUAGUAGCAGCAGGCUAUGUUCAGGCACUUAACAGGCUUGUAGUAGUAGUAAAAAAUAAUCAAUGAAGGUAAAGUGCAUGCUUAGAUAGAGCGUCUCAUUACUGAGGAAGCAUUAUGAGCAAAUCGAGUAGACAAUAUGCUGCUUUUUUUAGGUUAUAGUUGGGUUAAGGGGAUCUUAAAACGCAUAACUGGAAAAAACUCACUUUCUUUGUUAGAAAGUCUCUUCACUUAGUAUAUACAUACAUACAGCAUUGUUUCAGUAUUAGUAAUUAAUCAAUAUGUUUGUACUAGGCUAAUUAAUGUGUUUGGAAAAGUCAAAGGUCAGUGUCCACCUCCCGCGCUCCUUAAUUUAAGACUACAGUGUAAUUAUGAAGAUAUUGCCAUUGAAGUUAAUUAAUUGCAGAAUGCAAUUAGUCUAUAUCCAAUGAAUUUAAUUAGUGGAAGUAAAUGUACUGUUUAAGAGAAGAACCUUACCAUCACCAUGAGGUACUUAAGAUGGGUACAGGGCCUGCUUGGAGACUUCACCGGAGGAACUCCCAACUUUGGCAUUGUAGGGUGGAUCAUGAAGAGUAGAAAUGUAAGCAUGGAAGUGAAGAUGAGAUCAAGGAAAAGCACAGUUCUACCAUCACAUUCCUGUCAUACUUCCCCAGCCAGCCACCUUCAUGAUAAACCAAGGCAGUGACAUCUCAAGUAAUUGACGGCGGAUUGUUUUGAUUUUGCGGCACCCUUAUCAUUAAGCCGCGAAUUUUUGGAAAAUCAACCGCGUUGGUGCGAAUCGCCAGAACUCCCUUAUUUCUGGGGCUAAAUAAAUGUUUUUGGUAUCAAUCGACGGCAAAAUGAAAGGGCUAUAUUAUUUUAAUAAGCGACCGGGCUCAAAAACCGACUCGAAAGGGUAAAAAAUCGAAUAAAAACGGCUACGAAAAUUUUUUUUUUUUUUUUUUUGAGUUCCCAACCUUGAAACCCCACUCAUUUAACAAAUAAUUUAAGCCUUCCAAUGUGCUUUCCAAUAUGAUGCAUAACAUUUCCCUACUCCCAGUAGUUUUCGUCGCUAGAGCUCGAAGCGUAAACCCUUUUGAGGGCGAUUUUGACGAACUUAAAACACUUUGCCGUUUUUGUCUAGCGUGGCAUUGCUAUUGUCUCUAGAAGGGUGUAAUUUGCCAUGUAGCUCGAAGGUUUGUUCGAUAGCUUGAUUCCAAGUUUGUCGUCGAGCCGUCACAGAAUAGCCUGUUUUUCGGCCCUUUUGCCGCGAUUUGGACACGUCCUAGUUUUUUGCUAAUAACUUUUUUUUUAUAUUUAUUUAGUGCUUUUCAAUGUUUUUUUUUUCUGUUUAUUAAUCUGUAUUGAAAGAGCUUUC